rnacentral:lncRNA from 10 species
AAGGCGGAAGCUGAGGGGACAGUCACAGCCAGGACAGGAAUGUCACCCCCAGCUGGCAGACAGCACUCUGAGCAGCCAGGCCUGGGAUCCUCUGACCUGCCCACUUCAGGAGGCCAGUGUGGUCACUGCCACCCCACGGUCUGGGGACCCUGGACUCCAAACUUGCAGAAUGAAUCUUUGGUGAUGAAAGUGAGAAUCUGGGAGAGAUGUGAAAACUGGAAGAGAAACAGGAAGUACCUCCAGGAUUCACCUAAAUAGAUGCUGCGGUUUCUAUCAAACCACAGGCCACCCCAGCAUCUCAGUGGCUUCUAUAGGUUGUCCUGAAAGAGCCAUGAGGCCAGGGCCCUUGAUGGAUUCCCAGAUACCAGCUGCUCCUCCAGACACCAAUUCCACCCUCCACCUUUCUGUGUCCGUCCCAGACCAAGGCAGCCCAGGACUGGUAUCCUUCUAAGAAGAGGAAGGCACAUCAGAGGAGAGGCCAUGUGAGGACACCAUGGGAAGGCGGCCACCUGCAAGCCAAGGAGAGGGGCCUCAGGAGAAACCAGCCCUGCUGACACCCUGAGCUCCUUGCAAUUCCAGCCUCCUAGACUGUGUUAUAACAGCAGGAAGAAAACUCCCCAAAGGAAAAGUGUGCUAUCAGCUGAAGCAUCUCCCAAGUCCAGCUCUGCACCCCCACGUGCAUCCCCACACGAACGUGUUGCCAGGAAUCAACCGAACCCCUGUUUCUCUCGCAGAAAAUUGGUGGGAGCAAUCCUCGCUUGCGUGUCAGGAUGCCUGUCCAGGUGAAGCCAGCAUGAG